rnacentral:sRNA from 1 species
CACAUUGGAGUUAGCAUUGCCAACAGCAUGAGGGUGAGAGGUGAACAGCCCCUAAUGCCUGUGAUUCCUUCACUCCCCACCCCAGGCCUCUCCAUAUUGCUGUGGUGCAGGGUAACCUGCCAGCUGUGCACCGGCUGGUCAACCUCUUCCAGCAGGGGGGCCGGGAGCUCGACAUCUACAACAACCUGCGGCAGACACCGCUCCACCUGGCUGUGAUCACCACAUUACCGUCUGUGGUCCGGCUCCUGGUGACAGCUGGUGCCAGCCCCAUGGCGCUGGACCGCCAUGGCCAGACGGCCGCUCACCUGGCGUGCGAGCACCGCAGCCCGACCUGCCUGCGAGCCCUGCUGGACAGCGCAGCUCCGGGCACGUUGGACCUGGAGGCCCGCAAUUAUGACGGGCUCACCGCCCUGCACGUGGCAGUGAACACCGAGUGC